rnacentral:rRNA from 1 species
CCCUUAGAUGUUCUGGGCUGCACGCGCGCUACACUGACGCACGCAACAGGUGCCUGCUCCGAGAGGACUGGGUAAUCAUUUGAGUGUGCGUCGUGAUGGGGAUAGAAUAUUGUAAUUAUUACUCUUCAACGAGGAAUUCCUAGUAAGCGCCAGUCAGCAGCUUGCGCUGAUUACGUCCCUGCCCUUUGUACACACCGCCCGUCGCUCCCACCGAUGGGUGAUCCGGUGAAUGAUUCGGACUUCAGCGGCUCCCCUGGGGUGCGCCGGAGAAAGUUUUGUGAACCUUAUCACUUGGAGGAAGGAGAAGUCGUAACA